GUAGUUUUUCUUUUCUAAACUCGUGUUUUUGUUUCCAUCAGGACCUGAAAGAGAAGAAGCUGGCGGAGGAGAAGGAGAACGGGAAAGACAGCGCCACCAACGGGAAGGAGAACGAGGAGAACGGCGAGCCCGAGGUCGACGAUGAGGAGGACGAUGAAGUGGACGAGGAGGACGAGGAAGAAGAC